AUGUUGCUCUGCAGCCUGCUGAAGGUGGUCAUGACUUCGAUGUGGCUAGGAUCUAGUAUUGCCCAGAAGGUAACUCAAGCCCAACCAGCAAUGUUGGUGCAGGAGAAGGAGGCUGUGACCCUGGAAUGCACGUAUGACACCACUGAAAGCAGUUACAGUUUAUUCUGGUACAAGCAGCCCAGCAGUGGGGAGAUGAUUUUCCUUAUUCGUCAGGACUCUUAUAAUCAGCAAAAUGCAACAGAAGGUCGCUACUCAUUGAAUUUCCAGAAGGCAAGGAAAUCCAUCAGCCUUGUCAUCCUGGCUUCAAAAUUAGGGGACUCAGCAGUAUAUUUCUGUGCAUUGAGAGAGGCCACACUUGUGCUUCCUGAUAAUAAAGCUUCCAAACCUUGCAUCAACAUCAGACUCUUGAGUCCUUUACUCCAGGUGAAGAAGCAGCCAUUGUUGAUUGCCAGUUACACAUCCACUUGUGCCUUGGAAAGUGAUCCUGAGACUCAAGUGCCAGUUGCUACUGUAGUUUGCAAGGCUCUGAGCCCCAAAACCUAA